CAGCCGCCGCGGUAAUACGUAGGGUGCAAGCGUUAAUCGGAAUUACUGGGCGUAAAGCGUGCGCAGGCGGUUCGUUAAGACAGAUGUGAAAUCCCCGGGCUUAACCUGGGAACUGCAUUUGUGACUGGCGAGCUAGAGUAUGGCAGAGGGGGGUAGAAUUCCACGUGUAGCAGUGAAAUGCGUAGGGAUGUGGAGGAAUACCGAUGGCGAAGGCAGCCCCCUGGGCCAAUACUGACGCUCAUGCACGAAAGCGUGGGGAGCAAACAGGAUUAGAGACCCGUGUAGUCCCUGUCUCUUAUAC
rnacentral:rRNA from 1 species